UGGGGAAUCAUGGUCAAUGGGCGAAAGCCUGAACCUGCGACGCCGCGUGAGUGAUGAAGGUCGUAAGAUCGUAAAACUCUUUUCAGGGAUCGUAAAGCCUGUCUGUCAACAACAGGCAGGUCUGACUCUCCCUGGAAGAAGCGCCAGCCAACUACGUGCCAGCAGCUGCGGUAAUACGUAGGGGGCGAGCGUUAUUCGGAAUUACUGGGUGUAAAGGGUAUGUAGGCGGCCCUGCAAGUCGCGUGCGAAAGUCCAGUGCUUAACGCUGGGUGUGCACUGGAGACUGACGGGCUUGAGGGCUGGAGAGGUGAGCGGAAUUCCCGGUGUAGUGGUAAAAUACGUAGAGAUCUGGAGGAACACCAGCGGCGCAGGCGGCUCACUAGACAGUUUCUGACGCUAAGGUACGAAAGCGUGGGGAGCAAACA
rnacentral:rRNA from 1 species